rnacentral:rRNA from 1 species
AUGAACGUUGGCGGCGUGCCUAAUACAUGCAAGUCGAACGAAGACUGUNNNAAUACUGUCUUAGUGGCGAACGGGUGAGUAACGCGUGGGUGACCUGCCCCGAAGUGUGGGAUAACAGUCCGAAAGGAUUGCUAAUACUGCAUAAUAUCCAAGAGAUUAGAUGCUUUUGGAUUAAAGGAGUAAUUCGCUUCGGGAGGGGCCCGCGUCCCAUCAGCUAGUUGGUAAGGUAAUGGCUUACCAAGGCGAUGACGGGUAGGGGACCUGAGAGGGUGGCCCCCCACAAUGGAACUGAAACACGGUCCAUACACCUACGGGUGGCAGCAGUAGGGAAUAUUAGUAAUGGGCGAAAGCCUGAACUAGCAACGCCGCGUGUGCGAAGAAGGCCUUCGGGUCGUAAAGCACUUUUUGAGAGGAUGAGGAAGGAAGGUACCUCCAGAAUAAGUCUCGGCUAACUACGUGCNNNGCAGCCGCGGUAACACGUAGGAGGCAAACGUUAUCCGGAUUCACUGGGCGUAAAGCGCGUGCAGGUGGUUUCGUAAGUAGGGCGUGAAAGCUCCCGGCUCAACUGGGAGAGGCCGUACUAAACUGCGGAGCUAGAGGAUGGUAGAGGGAGGUGGAAUUCCAGGUGUAGUGGUGAAAUGCGCAGAUAUCUGGAGGAACACCAGUGGCGAAGGCGGCCUCCUGGACCAUACCUGACACUCAGACGCGAAAGCUAGGGUAGCAAACGGAAUUAGAGACUCCGGUAGUCCUAGCCCUAAACGAUGCAGACUAGGCGUCGGCGGUUUAAUCACCGUCGGUGUCCAAGCUAACGCGAUAAGUCUGCCGCCUGAGGACUACGGCCGCAAGGCUAAAACUCAAAGGAAUUGACGGGUCCCCGCACAAGCAGCGGAGCGUGUGGUUUAAUUCGAUGCUCCGCGAAGAACCUUACCUGGGUUUGACAUAACAGUGGUAGAGAAACGAAAGUGGACCGACCCUUCGGGGAGCUGUUACAGGUGUUGCAUGGCUGUCGUCAGCUCGUGUCGUGAGAUGUUCGGUUAAGUCCGCUAACGAGCGCAACCCGCGCUGUGUGUUACAAGUGUCACACAGUACCGCCGGUAUUAAGUCGGAGGAAGGUGCGGAUGACGUCAAGUCAGCAUGACCUUUAUAUCCAGGGCUACACACACGCUACAAUGGUCAGCACAAUAGGUUGCCAAGCCGCAAGGCGGAGCCAAUCCUCCAAAGCUGGCCUCAGUUCAGAUUGCAGGCUGCAACUCGCCUGCAUGAAGUCGGAGUUGCUAGUAACCGCAGGUCAGCAUACUGCGGUGAAUACGUUCCCGGGGAU